rnacentral:rRNA from 1 species
GACGAACGCUGGCGGCGUGCUUAACACAUGCAAGUCGAACGGAAAGGCCCUGCUUUUGUGGGGUGCUCGAGUGGCGAACGGGUGAGUAACACGUGAGUAACCUGCCCUUGACUUUGGUAUAACUUCAGGAAACUGGGGCUAAUACCGGAUAGGAGCUCCUGCUGCAUGGUAGGGGUUGGAACGUUUCGGCGGUUGGGGAUGGACUCGCGGCUUAUCAGCUUGUUGGUGGGGUAGUGGCUUACCAAGGCUUUGACGGGUAGCCGGCCUGAGAGGGUGACCGGCCACAUUGGGACUGAGAGACGGACCAGACUCCUACGGGAGGCAGCAGUGGGGAAUAUGGCACAAUGGGCGGAAGCCUGAUGCAGCAACGCCGCGUGCGGGAUGACGGCCUUCGGGUUGUAAACCGCUGUCGCCUGUGACGAAGCGUGAGUGACGGUAAUGGGUAAAGAAGCACCGGCUAACUACGUG